rnacentral:rRNA from 1 species
GUGCCAGCAGCCGCGGUAAGACAGAGGCCCCAAGCGUUAGGCGGAAUCACUGGGCUUAAAGCGUGUGUAGGCGGACUUCUAAGUGCCUUGUGAAAUCCCACGGCUCAACCGUGGAACUGCUGGGCAUACUGGGAGUCUUGGGCCAUUCAGGGGCAACUGGAACAAGCGGUGGAGCGGUGAAAUGCGUAGAUAUCGCUUGGAACGCCGAAGGUGAAAACAGGUUGCUGGGGAUGUGCCGACGCUGAGACACGAAAGCCAGGGGAGCAAACGGGAUUAGAUACCCCCGUAGUCC